AGUGAACGCUGGCGGUAGGCCUAACACAUGCAAGUCGAACGGCAGCACAGUAAGAGCUUGCUCUUACGGGUGGCGAGUGGCGGACGGGUGAGGAAUACAUCGGAAUCUACUUUUUCGUGGGGGAUAACGUAGGGAAACUUACGCUAAUACCGCAUACGACCUACGGGUGAAAGCAGGGGAUCUUCGGACCUUGCGCGAUUGAAUGAGCCGAUGUCGGAUUAGCUAGUUGGCGGGGUAAAGGCCCACCAAGGCGACGAUCCGUAGCUGGUCUGAGAGGAUGACCAGCCACACUGGAACUGAGACACGGUCCAGACUCCUACGGGAGGCAGCAGUGGGGAAUAUUGGACAAUGGGCGCAAGCCUGAUCCAGCCAUGCCGCGUGGGUGAAGAAGGCCUUCGGGUUGUAAAGCCCUUUUGGUGGGAAAGAAACGCAGCAGGUUAAUACCCCGCUGUUCUGACGGUACCCAAAGAAUAAGCACCGGCUAACUUCGUG
rnacentral:rRNA from 1 species